UGGCGGACGGGUGAGUAACGCGUGGGCAACCUGCCCCGUACCGGGGGAUAACAGCCGGAAACGGCUGCUAAUACCGCAUACGCUUGGAAGGCCGCAUGGCUUUUCAAGCAAAACUCCGGUGGUACGGGAUGGGCCCGCGUCUGAUUAGCUUGUUGGCGGGGUAACGGCCCACCAAGGCGACGAUCAGUAGCCGGCCUGAGAGGGCGGCCGGCCACAUUGGGACUGAGACACGGCCCAGACUCCUACGGGAGGCAGCAG
rnacentral:rRNA from 1 species